rnacentral:lncRNA from 1 species
AGCCUGCACCUGCCUGCAGCCAUUCAGACUUGAUCCCCUUGCGUGCUGGGGAGACUGAGGCCUGCCUUGCAAAGGGGAUGGGGGACGGGCACCCCAGCUUGGCUUCCAGGCUCUGCAUUUUCCUCUCAUUUCUGAACCAUUCUUGGCCCAACUGGGAUCCUCUGCAAAACCAUUCCUUCAACGAACAUUGAUUGAGUACAGUGUGUCAAGAGGAAAAGGGGAUACAGAGGAUGAGAUGGUUGUAUGGCAUCACCCACUCGAUGGACUUGAGUUUGAGCAAGCUCUGGGAGUUGGUGAAGGACAGGGAAGCCUGGUGUGCUGCAGUCCAUUGAGCCACAAACAGUCAGGUACAACUGAGUGACUGAACAACAAUUUUGUGCCGCACUGAGCUGAGCAGUCAGUAAGGCAAACUAGCUCGUGCCUACAGUCUAGGAGAGGAGACAAAAGAAUCUGCUGGAGAGUUCAAGGUAUAGGUAGAUGAGGGUGUUGAGCGGCCCAGGAGGACUAGGAGGUGACCUAGGGGCCAUAGAAGGACCCUGGACAGAUUUAACAGAGCACACGGGGUGCAGGGGGUGGUGGGAAGUCAGCGUGUACUACACAGAGGGGCCCGCCAGCACAAAAGACCCUGAGGGAGGCCCCACCCCCGCGGCCCGGCUCAGCUGCCACCCAGGCUUCAGCACUCAUGAAUGAGUCUUUCAUGCCCUGGACGGGGGCAAGGUCAGACUUGGCUGCUCCCUCCCCCGCCCUGGGCUCCUGACUGUCUGAGCCUUGACCUGGAAGAGGGUGGCAGGAAGUUCACAGCUUGCCCGCCGGGUGAGCCAGGGAGGCCCAGGGAGGGGGCAGAACCAGCAGCGUCCUCACAAUUGUGUGACACUAAGCAAAGCCCCGCCCCUCCGGGCCUCAGUUUCUCCGGCCAGGUGGGUCAGCGCGGCGCUCCAGUCCAGCUCCGACCCAGAAGGAAUCCAGCGCGGGUUUUGCGGAUGCCCGGCGGCUACCGACACCUUCCUCCCUGGGCGUCCCGGCCUCGGCCCCGGGUCCGAGGGGUCCCGGGGAGACCUGGACCCCCCCAGAACGGCAGCUGUUCCGGCGGCAGAUGCGCUGGCUAA